rnacentral:tRNA from 2 species
GGUUCGUUAGCUCAGUUGGUAGAGCAGUUGACUUUUAAUCAAUUGGUCGCAGGUUCGAAUCCUGCACGACCCACCA